ACGGGGUCUCAAAGAGUUGGACACAACUGAGCGCGCGCGCGCACGCACGCGCGCGCGCACGCACACACACACACACACUCCAAAACAACACAGCACCUGACCUUCCACAGAAACCAAAUGGUGGAUGUAUUGACAGGAAUAAUAAUGUGGCUCGAACUUGGGUUUGUCAAGUAUAGACUUAUAUUUUCAAAAUAUUUAAGGCUAACACAAAUCAAAAUUAAUUUUGUCAGCUACAUUUUUAUUUAGUCUUGAAAGCUUUAUCGAUUUCUAUUAGUUAUCGUGAAACCCAUACAAGGAUUUCAUAAGCAGAAUUUUCAGGAGGUUUUAUGCCCCUUUUUAUAAACCUCUGAUGAAAAAAACAAAUAAAAUAGGGAAAUAGAAAGGUGUAGUUUGCACACUUUGCGUGCUCUCAAACAUCAUCACCUGACUAUAGAUGUGAUCUUUGCUGCUCCAAGUAACAGAAAGCUCACCCCAUAAAAAGGAAUUAACUGGCUCGUAUAACUGAACAGUCUAAUAGUAGACAAAGGUGUAGAUGCAGCUUGGCCCACGGCUCGUAUGUCAGAGUUAGUGUCUAAGUCUUGGUUCUCUUCUUUGUGUUAGCUCCAGUUUCAAACCAUCUCCUCUCAAGAUGGCUGAAGGCAGUUCCUGGACUCUCCCUUGCAGAGAUAGAGCAUCAGGAAACCCUGUUUCCAUCCCCUGUUUUGACUUUAUUCUGACUUGGCACACUGAGUUCAUCUUGGGACCAGCACUGAGUAGCUUAGUUCGGGGCCAAUACCCUGCCCCUAAAACCAAAGGCUUUCCAUGCAGUAUAUGGACUGUCAGGGAGAGGUACGUAUCUGAACAAAACUAGAGACUUUGGAGGCUGGGAGGAAAUCAGCAAAUAUCUCUAGAGUCCCCAUGCCUCUAACGGGAGGAAAACCAGCAGGUUCUGUCUUUGGCACCACCUACCACAGGUCCCUGGUGGCUCAGAUGGUAAAGCGUCUGCCUACAAUGCGGCAAACCCGGGUUCGUUCCCUGGUCAGGAAGAUCCUCUGGAGAAGGCAAUGGCAACCCACUCCUGUACUCUUGCCUGGAAAAUCCCAUGCACGGAGGAGCCUGGUAGGCUACAGUCCAUGGGGUCACAAAGAGUCAGACACGACUGAGCACCUUCACUUUCACUUUCUUUCACCACAGAUCCUUGUAGGAGCAUCGCAGGUCUUAGGUUUCUCCUCGUUACUUCUUGAUCUGUUUUUGCUUCCUUUACCCUUGAUCUCCUCUCUACAGUCCUUGUGUGACUGUUUGCUUUUCUCCAUAUUCACCCAAACACAGAACAUCAUUCUUUUCUCUUACUUUGCUUCAACGUGUUCUAAGAGAAGCAGUGUAUAUGGCAGUCCUUAGCUGAAGGCUGGAGUGAUGAGAAUGAGUUACUUUGUAACACGUUACAGCAUGCUAUUUAAAUUUGAAUGUUAGCUCAUAAAAAACAGCUUUCUAGAUGUAGUUCAUACACCAUAAAAUUCACUCUUAUAAAGUGUACAAUUCAGUGGUUUUUAGUUGUUCGACCAUCACCACUGUCUAAUCGCAUAUCAUUUUCAUCAUCCCAGAAAGAAACCCUGUAUCCAUCAGUGUUCCUCUUCACGUCCCCCCUCUCUCCACACCCUGGCAACCAAUAAUCUGCUCUUUGUCUAUUCUGGACAUUUCAUAUAAAUGGAACCAUGUAAUGUGUGACCUUUUGUGUCUGGCUUCUUUCACUUAGCAUAAGGUUUUCAAGGUGCAUUCAUGUUGGAGCAUUUAUCAACUUCAUUCCUUUUAUGGUAGAACAAUAUUCCAUUGUAUGGGUAUAUAUCAUUUUGUUUAUCCAUUCAUCUAUUGAUGGAUGCUUGUGUAUUUCCACAUUUUAGCUACUAUGAAUGAUCCUGCUGUGAAUGUUGGGGACAUUAGCUUGUUUUAAGGAUGUCUGUACCACAUGUGCGUGGGGAGUUUCUCACUGACUCUCCUGUCUGCACCCCAGCCUCCUGCGGCUUUUGUGCCUGUGCAACCACGGUGACAGCGCUGCCAUCACAGGGAUGAUGAGGUGCUGUUUGCUCUGCUGUCUCCCUUCAGCUGAGGGUGGGUAGAAAGUGGGGUGAUGCCAUCUCACCCCCUUCCUGGUCACACUAUAAUCUCCCCCAGCACAGCAACCCACUGUACCACCCAGGCUCACCAAAGACGGUGUGGCCUUUCUACUUUGGGAAAUGAGAAUUCUCAGAAGACCAACAGAAACACAUGUAGAAAAUGACUGAAAUUACUGGUUAUCAGGAGAGAUGAUGGCCUGAAGCUGUGGGAAGGGAGUGGAUAGGUUGGAAGUGGGCUAAGAUUCUCUAAUGACAUGAUGAGUAGCUUUUUGCUUGUUUCCUGUGGCUUUUGCUCCAAAUGAGAGGUUUCAACUCUCACGUGGUGAAGUGUGCAGUAUAAAUCCAACAUUCAUCAUGCAGGGACUUCCAGGGAGGUGAUUCAGAAGUCCCACCUGCAUGAUGAAGCGAGGUUAGGAAUAGUGGCACCCAAACCAGAAAGAAACAGCGAGUAGAGAAAGAAAACCGAAAGGUGGAAAGGGGACUGUUAUGGAUCAAAUAUUGAUGCACCCUCCCCUGUGUGAUGGUGUUUGGAGGUGGGGCCUUGGAAGAAGAUCAGCCAUGAAGAUGGAGCCCUUUGGAAUGGAUCACUGACCUUAGAAGAGGCAGAGGGAUAGAUGGGCCUCUUUCUACCAAGCAAGGACACAGGGAGAAGUCGGCAGUCUGCAACCGGAAGAAGUUACCCAGAACCAGAUUUGCUGGCAUGCUCAUCUCAGACUUCAGCUUCUAGGAUGUGAGAAAUAAAUAUUUAUUUUUUAAGCCA